rnacentral:tRNA from 1 species
GCUUGAAGCUCAUAGACAGAGCGCCGAGUCUUGUAAACUUGGAGAGAGGGUUAAAACCCUCUCAGCU